GAGCAUUCAUCAGAGCGAGGGGCUGUACGGUGUCCAGGUGGAAAGCCAACACUGUGCCACAUAGCCUACAACAGGAUUCCACAUCAUGUGGAAUAUUUGCCAUCAAAGUAAGUUUUUGAAUUGCAUAUUUCUUUACGGAAACAUGAAGCCGAUUUUGAAAAGGUCUCCUUUUUCAACAUUUAAACUCCUAGAGAGACAUAAAGUUGAUGAAUUUUGAUUAAGUUAAACUGGGCCAGUAUGUUUUGAAUAUUCAUUUAUUCAAACAUGUUCUUAGUAUGCUGAGAAAGUCCUGGCCGAGGAGUCUCCUACUUUCCCAAACUCUCAAGAGGCAGUGGUUAAAUACAGGAGGGAAAUUGCUGUAGCACUUCUCAAUGAGACUGAUCCAGUGUGACACCUGUGGAAGGUGGUGCCACGAGGGUUGUGUUGGGAGACCUGACAGAGAUCAUAUGUACAGCUGUCCUGCAUGCCCCCAGGCUCAAAUGAGUCGAUGCCGUCCAAAACCGUCCAAAGAAA
rnacentral:lncRNA from 1 species